AUGUCUCACGAAUUUAAUUUCUCUAAAUUUAGUAGACAACACCAUGAAGAAGAAUUACCUAGUAAGGAUGAAAUUAUUGGUCUUGCUUCUAUUGCUGUACCUCCUAGUGAUCCUUUAGAACAAUAUUUGCUAGACCAUGAAAAUGAUAUGUUUAUGAAUGAAAGAAGGGAAAUAGAUGAAGUAUUCUUCAAACAGGAACCUAUUCUGAAACACAAUUUGCCUGUUGAAAUCCUAGGGGGUCCUCCUCCACCCAAGGGUGAUCCCAUGUUUGAGCUUAAACCGUUGCCUGAUACUCUUAAAUAUACUUAUCUUGAUGAGAAAAGGAUAUAUCCUGUUAUUAUUAGUGCUAACCUUUCAGAGCAUGAGGAAGAGAGAUUAUUGAAAACUCUAAAGAAACACCAUGCUGCUAUUGGGUAUACUCUUGAUGAUCUUAAGGGCAUUAGUCCUACUCUAUGUCAACAUAAAAUAAAUUUGGAAGAAGAUGCUAAACCAGUUCGUGAUCAUCAAUGA
rnacentral:rRNA from 1 species